rnacentral:ncRNA from 1 species
UCUGUAAAAAGGCAAACAAAUCGUGAGGUUUGGACGCAAAGUUACCAAUCUGUAUUUUUAUUACAGAUAGUGGAACUGCCAAA